GCUCCUGGAAACGGGUGGUAAUGCCGGAUGCUCCGACUCCUCGCAUGGGGUGUCGGGAAAGAUUUCAUCGGUAUGGGAUGGGGUCGCGUCCUAUCAGGUAGUCGGCGGGGUAACGGCCCACCGAGCCUACGACGGGUAGCCGGCCUGAGAGGGCGACCGGCCACAUUGGGACUGAGAUACGGCCCAGACUCCUACGGGAGGCAGCAGUGGGGAAUAUUGCACAAUGGGCGCAAGCCUGAUGCAGCGACGCCGCGUGCGGGAUGACGGCCUUCGGGUUGUAAACCGCUUUUGAUCGGGAGCAAGCCUUCGGGUGAGUGUACCUUUCGAAUAAGCACCGGCUAACUACGUGCCAGCAGCCGCGGUAAUACGUAGGGUGCAAGCGUUAUCCGGAAUUAUUGGGCGUAAAGGGCUCGUAGGCGGUUCGUCGCGUCCGGUGUGAAAGUCCAUCGCUUAACGGUGGAUCUGCGCCGGGUACGGGCGGGCUGGAGUGCGGUAGGGGAGACUGGAAUUCCCGGUGUAACGGUGGAAUGUGUAGAUAUCGGGAAGAACACCAAUGGCGAAGGCAGGUCUCUGGGCCGUUACUGACGCUGAGGAGCGAAAGCGUGGGGAGCGAACAGGAUUAGAUACCCUGGUAGUCCACGCCGUAAACGGUGGAUGCUGGAUGUGGGGCCCGUUCCACGGGUUCCGUGUCGGAGCUAACGCGUUAAGCAUCCCGCCUGGGGAGUACGGCCGCAAGGCUAAAACUCAAAGAAAUUGACGGGGGCCCGCACAAGCGGCGGAGCAUGCGGAUUAAUUCGAUGCAACGCGAAGAACCUUACCUGG
rnacentral:rRNA from 1 species